rnacentral:rRNA from 1 species
CCUACGGGUGGCAGCAGUGAGGAAUAUUGGUCAAUGGCCGAGAGGCUGAACCAGCCAAGUCGCGUGAGGGAAGACGGCCCUACGGGUUGUAAACUUCUUUUGUCGGGGAGCAAAGCGAACCACGUGUGGUUCAUUGUGAGUACCCGAAGAAAAAGCAUCGGCUAACUCCGUGCCAGCAGCCGCGGUAAUACGGAGGAUGCGAGCGUUAUCCGGAUUUAUUGGGUUUAAGGGGUGCGCAGGCGGUGGUGCAAGUCAGCGGUCAAAUUGCGGGGCUCAACCCCGUACUGCCGUUGAAACUGCAUGCCUUGAGUGCGCGAGAGGUAUGCGGAAUGCGUGGUGUAGCGGUGAAAUGCAUAGAUAUCACGCAGAACUCCGAUUGCGAAGGCAGCAUACCGGCGCGCAACUGACGCUCAUGCACGAAAGCGUGGGUAUCGAACAGGAUUAGAUACCCGAGUAGUC